AUUGAACGCUGGCGGAAUGCUUUACACAUGCAAGUCGAGCGGCAGCGCGGGGGCAACCCUGGCGGCGAGCGGCGAACGGGUGAGUAACAUAUCGGAACGUACCCCGUCGUGGGGGAGUAACACAGCGAAAGCUGUGCUAAUACCGCAUACGACCUGAGGGUGAAAGCGGGGGAGUCGCAAGACCUCGCGCGAUGGGAGCGGCCGAUAUCGGAUUAGCUUGUUGGUGAGGUAAAGGCUCACCAAGGCGACGAUCCGUAGCUGGUCUGAGAGGACGACCAGCCACACUGGAACUGAGACACGGUCCAGACUCCUACGGGAGGCAGCAGUGGGGAAUUUUGGACAAUGGGGGGCGAACCCUGAUCCAGCCAUUCCGCGUGAGUGAAGAAGGCCUCGGUUGUAAGACUC
rnacentral:rRNA from 1 species